rnacentral:rRNA from 1 species
GAAGAACGACCUGCAGCCGUCGUGAUUCCCCUGGGGAUCUCGUCGGCCCACAGACUAAAUAGAGGUGGAUACCAUCCGUGGGGAUGGUAGUUCAGAUAUAGUCGCCUACCCAGAGGCAAAGUAAUCUGGGAUACACCGGUUCCGUAGGUGAACCUGCGGAAGGAUCAUUA